rnacentral:lncRNA from 1 species
GCCCAGCAUGAGUGGUCUUCAUUUAAGAGGCUUUGCACUUAACUACUCACCCCAUUGUUUGGUUUCUUUAAAACAGUGUGGAGCACAAAGUGUAGUUAUGAUUGGUUAGAUGCAGAAGUUUUGCGAAGACCAGAAUAAAAAUUCUCUUCUCUAAGAAAAACACAUACAUGUGACAUCUUGCAUUGCAUAGUCUGUCCCCUGCAACAGAUUUAAUCAAAUACCUGCAGCAUCUCAGAUAUCCUCCUGAGGGCAAAACAUUAAUUGAAUUUCGUACUAAGAACAUCUCAAUAUACAUCAACAGAAAAGCAUGAGAUAGCAAAAUGACACAAGCAUGCGAUUGCACGGUAGCUAGACUAAGCCUGCCAUAUAAAUCAUCAAUGUAGCAAGUCCUGAUUACAUAAGUCUAAAUAAGGACAGCCACGCAUGAGGUGUUUUUUUUACCAAAACAGGAGGGGUUGCCCCCUACUGAGCUUUUAUGAAAACACAAUUCAAAAGUACAGAGGCCAAGCACUGGGUUUAAGAUACAUAGAAGGAAACAAAAAAAAUCAUGAAAACUAUACAAAGCUGUUUAGCCACUGAUCAAGCCCUGUUUGAAAAUUAUCCUUAGCUCUCAGCUUAGCCAGAGCUAAUUCCUUGCGAAAAGUAUAUUUGCAAGAGGCCACUGAGUGUUGAAGAUUCAUGAAGAUACUAUCAUUCCUUUGAGGUCCAUAGUGUCCAACACAUAGAUAUAAAAACUUCCAUAAAAAAUGGCCGUUGAAAAUGACCCCUGAAAGCUGAAAUGGUUGAAAACAAGUCAUUCUGAAUGAGGUGAACAAAACCCAAGGUAUUCCAACAAGUCAUUGCAAAUGGGCAGUGGAAAAAAAGAUGCUUUAGGGAUACUUCAGUGUUCAUAAAGCAGAGUACACAACUGUAGCAUUCCAAAAAAAAAAACCAUAUUCUUAGUGCCCUGGUGCUGAGCCUGUCUUUUAGCAAAAGCCAGAAGAAGAAUUUUCUUCUUGGUUGACAGUAAGACUUCCAUAGCCAUUUAUAAGCAGUAUGAACAUUCCUUGUAACUCUGAGAUGGACAUAAGCCUUACUUGAACUAAACUGACUAGAACCAUGAACCG